UCUUGGUUCAGGACGAACGCUGGCGGCGUGCCUAACACAUGCAAGUCGAACGAAGUGCUUGUAACAGAUCUUCGAGAUGAAGAUACAAGUAUCUUAGUGGCGGACGGGUGAGUAACGCGUGAGUAACCUGCCUUCUACAAGGGGAUAGCCUCGGGAAACCGGGAUUAAUACCCUAUGACACUUUCAAAUCGCAUGAUUUAGAAGUUAAAGCGUAAAGCGGUAGAAGAUGGUCUCGCGUCCCAUUAGUUAGUUGGUGAGGUAACGGCUCACCAAGACAGCGAUGGGUAGCCGGCUUGAGAGAGUGAACGGCCACACUGGAACUGAGACACGGUCCAGACUCCUACGGGAGGCAGCAGUGGGGAAUAUUGCACAAUGGAGGAAACUCUGAAUGCAGCGACGCCGCGUGAGCGAAGAAGGCCUUCGGGUCGUAAAGCUCUGUCCUAUGGGACGAUAAUGACGGUACCAUAGGAGGAAGCCCCGGCUAACUACGUGCCAGCAGCCGC
rnacentral:rRNA from 1 species